AGAAAUGCGUAGGUAAAGCGAUUAACAUAUAAGAAUAUAGUAUCAAAUGUUAGACCCGAAACCUAGUGAUCUUACCAUGACCAGGAUUAUAAAAGUGCGAACGGGUUAUCGUUGUAUAGAUAUCCGAUGAGUUAUGGUAAGUUAGUGAAAGACAAUCCUGACUAGGAUAGCUGGUUUUCUGCGAAACCUAUAUAAGUAGGUAAUUCAAAUAUAAUAUUGGUAGGUACAGAAUUGUGAUCUCAUACAACUUGUGUUAGAUAAUUUGUCAUAUAAACAAAUUAUUUGGUGCCUUUGUGGACAUUGGGGGGUCGUGAAGACUCUAUCAGUGAGUAUUUGUUCUCGGAAGGGCCAUAUAUAGAUAUUGAAUAAUCGGACAUAGUACGAUAAGGUUGUAUGUCUAAAGGGAAACAGCCCAGAACAAGAGUUAAUAAGGUUCCAAAAUUACUGUUAAGUGAAAUUAAGGUAGUAUUUUUCCAAAACGGCCAGGUAAUAGGCUUAGAAGCGGCCACUUUUUGAAGAUCUCGUAACAGAGCACUGGUUUUAUCUAUAAAAUAAAAAGGUUAAAAGCACCGAAGAUUUAACGGAUCUAAACAGUAUACCGAAACCUUGUCCGUAUAUACUAUUUUAUACAAUGUAUAUUUGGGGUAGCAGAACGUUGGGUAUAUUACUGAAUGUUUCUUUGAGUCAUUUCAGGGUUGUAAAAUAUCCCAAGUGAAAAUGCUGACAUGAGUAACGAUAAAGGGAAAAAGCAAGAAUCUUGCUGUAUCCUUUCGCCUUAAGCUUAUGGUAUUUAUUAAAGUCACGGCCUCUAAGUUUGCCAGAUCCUAUUAUGCCUAAAUAAGGGUAGGUUAUGCCUAUUAUAAACAGAUAUAAAGUUUUUAAUGGGCAUAAACUCAAAGUGUACGCUUUUUGUGUAAAAACCUUGAGUGUAUAUAGCUUGAGUUAAACAUAAUAAUAGGAUGCACAUAUCAAAAGGUAUGAACGAUGAGCAAAUCUAAAGUAUACAGAAAACAACAUGUUAAGCUAAUAUGCUAAUUCUAUCGCUAUAACAUUUGCGUGUUUUUCUUGUUUUUUGUAACAAUUAAACUUAUGGUGUUUAGCUAUAGUAAAACAUGUUCUGGAAAACUGUAAACGACAUGGGGGGAAGUUAGCUAAUAAAUUAGCUAGCGAGCAAUUCUCUUGUGGCAAGUAUAUGUCAAUAUUGUUUAAACAAUAUUUAUUGUUUUUAGCGCACCCCUAUAAAUUACCGUACCUAAAUACUAACACAAGUAAGCAAGUAGAGAAUACGAAGGC
rnacentral:rRNA from 1 species